UUUGUAACUUUCCACAUGGUGAUUCAAUAAACACACACACACAAAGGGUCUCUUGCCUUUAGGGGGCUGUAGCCCUGCCCCCGAACAUGAGUCUGAAGAUUCUAUAGCA
rnacentral:snoRNA from 1 species